GACAGAGGAUGCAAACGUUGUUCGGAAUUACUGGGCGUAAAGAGCGUGUAGGCGGUUCGGAAAGUCGGGUGUGAAAGCCCUGGGCUCAACCCAGGAAGUGCACUCGAAACUCCCGAGCUAGAGUCCUGGAGAGGAAGGCGGAAUUCCAGGUGUAGCGGUGAAAUGCGCAGGAUAUCAGGAGGAACACCAAUGGCGAAGGCAGCUCGCUGGAACGGUACUGACGCUGAGGCGCGAAAGCGUGGGGAGCAAACAGGAUUAGAA
rnacentral:rRNA from 1 species